ACGCUCGACACCUACGGAAGGCAGCAGUGGGGAAUAUUGCACAAUGGGGGAAACCCUGAUGCAGCGACGCCGCGUGAGUGAAGAAGUAAUUCGUUAUGUAAAGCUCUAUCAGCAGGGAAGAAAGUGACGGUACCUGAGUAAGAAGCCCCGGCUAACUACGUACCAGCAGCCGCGGUAAUCUGAGCGGGCUGGCAAGGC
rnacentral:rRNA from 1 species